AAGGCAACGCGGAGCCGCGUGUGCGUCGCUGGAGGAGCGAUGUGACAGUCUUCGUAGUUGUGGAUGCAAGGAGGACUAAACCCAACGUGCAGUAGUUUGUCAAGCAUCUAGUAUCUAGUAGAAACUGAAAACCGGGUUUGUUUUUAAUACGGCCGCGAAAUAUUCUUCUGUGUCUAAUUGAGGGAGUUUUUGUUCUUACCAAAAUCAUGUUCACAACCUACGUAAAGAAUCUGAAUGAUAUGGUAUUUUCUACGUCUGAGAGCCCCGAGGAGCAGCAGAGCACUGGAGUCUUGGGCCGAAUCGGGAGCUGGCUCUCUCCAUGGAGGGGAAAGGCUCCAACUAGUCCCACUGAAAAUGCCUCUGCGAGUAGCGGUCAGGCUCUUAAGUCAGAGGAGGAAAAGGAGAGUGAGGAAUCUGUGAGACUCUGUGGGACAGGGACACGAGAGUCGGAGCAGGAGGAGGAGGGCCGACUAUCCAAUCGCAAUCCACUCCGUCCCUCCGGAGACAUUUUCCCUUGUGAAGAGGUGGACGCCACUCGGUCUGCCCACAGAGACGGCUCUGUUGCGAGCAGCGCUGAGAAAGCGGAUCCAAAGAAGGAGGAGCUGGUGGAGUGCAGGACAAAGAGAGUCGUGCAAGGCAAGCAGAGGGAGGAGAGCGGCACCGGCACAUUAGCCGGCGGGACAGACGCCCGUCAGGUGACACAUCAGUCCUCCUCCGCAGAGCAGGGC
ensembl:lncRNA